UUGAAGCUCCCUUCGUCGGCCAUACUGGAAGGAGAUGUGUCCUGGACUCCUAACAAUAACAGUGUGUUUGAUUACCUAGUGAGAGGCAAAGUAGGAAUCAACCGGCAGGAGUGUCAGUUUUCUGUUCAUCUGAAUGGCUCAUCAGACAGAAUUGGUCUGUAUUCCUCGCUCACACAUCCCUUCCAAUCCAAGAUCCUUAAAACAUUGGAGGUGGGUUGCUAAUGUGCUUUUUCAAAGGUUGACAAUUGAAUCCCUUAACUGACGAGGAAUAUAACAUUUAAAAAAAACAUGUUGCUUUUUUGUUUUUUGGUCAGCGUAUCUCGUGGUUUCUAAUGGGUUUAGUAACUUUACUCUUUUGUAUUCUCCAGGCCCGGCUCACUGCAUACACUUCUAUGGUGGACGGCAGAGUGAGCAGCUCUCUCUGUGUGAGGGCUGAUGGGAAGGACAGAGCCCUGCUGGAGGCCCAGCUCUCCCACUCCCUACAGAGAGACACCAGAGCCCUGAGUCUACAUCUGACCCUGCUCCAGACUUUACUACCUACUACAGCCACGCAGCUGCACCUCAACAUGUCUGCCAACAUGUCCUCAGAUAGGUGAGUGCAUUCUCACUAAAUCAAAUCAAAUGUUAUUGGCCACAUACACAUGGUUAACAGAUGUUACUGCAGGUAACAUCGGAGCUUGUGCUUCUAGCUCCGCCAGUGCAGUAAUAUCUAACAAUAUAUACCCAAUACACACAAAUCUAAGUAUAGGAAUGGAAUUAAGAAUAUUUAAAUACUAGUCUAUCAAGUAGCUACAUACAGUGUGUACUUAGGACAGGUCUGUCUGUCUUAGCCACAGUUUUGCUGUAUCCCUCCCCAUGCGUUCUCACUCUGUAUCCUAAUUGUAAUCGUUCAUAGUACCUCCAUACCUUCUCAUCUCUCCCUGUCUAUCUCCUUCCAGACUCUCCAUGCAUGGUGCCUAUGACCAGGGAGGGGAGGUCCUGCAGGCCCAGGUGGCUGGCUCAUUGGAGCACUCCCCUGGUUCCCCGUGGCUCCGGAUGGCUGUCAACGGCGGCCUGAGGCACUCCUUACCCAGCCUCACUGCUCUGCCUCCUGCCCUGAGUCUGGAAGGAGCCCUGGGGCAGUCAGACUGGCUCACUGAAGGGCAGCUGAGAGUGACAGUGAGUAAGGCUGUGUACAGUGUGGAGCUGAGUCAUCAACAGGACCAAGGAGACACCUGGGAGGAAGAGGAUGGCAUGCUGGGGAAAGAGCCUGACGCGGCCAGUGAUUGGUUGUGUGCUCGGGCAGGGGAGGAGUCUCUGUGUGUGAAUGUGAGCCGCCGAUUGGGCAGUCAGCCGAGGGGUGGGGUCAACGCACAGCUCGCUCACUCCUCCAGCUGGCUCCACACUGCAGGUAUACCAGGUAACAGCAGUGCCCAGGUGAGCUGGACCCAGGAGGAGGGGAGGCUCUCAGUGCUGGCAGAACUACAGACCGGAGCUCAUGGCCUGAAGGCUGAGUUUGAGAGGGCCAGGACUGGCGGGGCCUCACCACGAUGGGAGCUCCAAACCAGGGUACAGCACCAAAGCAAGGCCCUGGUCCAAAGAGGCCUGCCUAGCUCCAUCCAGGCUACAGGGCACUAUCAGGUGCAGCUUCAUCCUCUUCUUCCUCAUCCUUUCUCUUCUUUCUCGCUACUCUAUUGUUGUUAAGAAUGCUGCGUUGAACUUGAUUUUGGACAUACUCCUGGAGAUAACCUAUCAAGAUAUCGAAGAAGAUGUAUCAACGAUGCUUCAAGCUAAGG
ensembl:lncRNA